rnacentral:rRNA from 1 species
UGGAGGUUGUGCCCUUGAGGCGUGGCUUCCGGAGCUAACGCGUUAAGUCGACCGCCUGGGGAGUACGGCCGCAAGGUUAAAACUCAAAUGAAUUGACGGGGGCCCGCACAAGCGGUGGAGCAUGUGGUUUAAUUCGAUGCAACGCGAAGAACCUUACCUACUCUUGACAUCCAGAGAAUUCGCUAGAGAUAGCUUAGUGCCUUCGGGAACUCUGAGACAGGUGCUGCAUGGCUGUCGUCAGCUCGUGUUGUGAAAUGUUGGGUUAAGUCCCGCAACGAGCGCAACCCUUAUCCUUUGUUGCCAGCACGUAAUGGUGGGAACUCAAAGGAGACUGCCGGUGAUAAACCGGAGGAAGGUGGGGAUGACGUCAAGUCAUCAUGGCCCUUACGAGUAGGGCUACACACGUGCUACAAUGGCGUAUACAAAGAGAAGCGAACUCGCGAGAGCAAGCGGACCUCAUAAAGUACGUCGUAGUCCGGAUCGGAGUCUGCAACUCGACUCCGUGAAGUCGGAAUCGCUAGUAAUCGUAGAUCAGAAUGCUACGGUGAAUACGUUCCCGGGCCUUGCACUCACCGCCCGUCA